CGGUGUGCUUCACGCAUGCAAGUCGAACGAGGUAGCAAUACCUAGUGGCGGACGGGUGAGUAACGCGUGGAAUCUGCCUUUAGAUGGGGGAUAACGGGUCGAAAGACUCGCUAAUACCGCAUAUGACGAAAGUUGAAAGGAGUAAUCCGUCUAAAGAUGAGCCCGCGUCCGAUUAGCUAGUUGGUAGAGUUAAAGCCUACCAAGGCGACGAUCGGUAGCUGGUCUGAGAGGAUGAUCAGCCACAAUGGGACUGAGACACGGCCCAUACUCCUACGGGAGGCAGCAGUGGGAAUUUACGCAAUGGGCGAAAGCCUGACGUAGCGACACCGCGUGAGCGAAGAAGCCCCUUGGGGUGUAAAGCUCUGUCAGCUGGAACGAAAAAAUGACGGUACCAGCAGAGGAAGCAUCGGCUAACUACGUG
rnacentral:rRNA from 1 species